rnacentral:tRNA from 1 species
AAAGAAUUAGUUAAAUUAACAUUAGCAUGUCAAGCUAAAAUUACUAGUUUUUAUAAUCUAGUAUUCUUUA